rnacentral:rRNA from 1 species
AUUGAACGCUGGCGGCAGGCUUAACACAUGCAAGUCGAACGAGUGGCGGACGGGUGAGUAAUGCUUGGGAAUCUAGCUUAUGGAGGGGGAUAACUACGGGAAACUGUAGCUAAUACCGCGUACCAUAGGAUGAGCCCAAGUGGGAUUAGGUAGUUGGUGAGGUAAAGGCUCACCAAGCCGACGAUCUCUAGCUGGUUUGAGAGGAUGACCAGCACGACUGGGGCUGAGACACGGCCCAUACUCCUGCGGGAGCCAGCAGGGGGGAAUUUUGCGCAAUGGGGGCAACCUGACGCAGCCAUGCCGCGUGAAUGAAGAAGUCCUUCUGGUUGUAAAGUUCUUUCGGUAGCGAGGCGUUAACUACAGAAGAAGCACCGGCUAACUCCGUGCCAGCAGCCGCGGUAAUAC